GGGGAGCCCUAGCACAGGUGCUGCAUGGCCGUCGUCAGCUCGUGCCGUGAGGUGUUGGGUUAAGUCCCGCAACGAGCGCAACCCCCGCCGUUAGUUGCCAGCGGUUCGGCCGGGCACUCUAACGGGACUGCCCGCGAAGGCGGGAGGAAGGAGGGGACGACGUCUGGUCAGCAUGGCCCUUACGGCCUGGGCGACACACGUGCUACAAUGCCCACUACAAAGCGAUGCCACCCGGCAACGGGGAGCUAAUCGCAAAAAGGUGGGCCCAGUUCGGAUUGGGGUCUGCAACCCGACCCCAUGAAGCCGGAAUCGCUAGUAAUCGCGGAUCAGCCAUGCCGCGGUGAAUACGUUCCCGGGCCUU
rnacentral:rRNA from 1 species